CAGUAGCCACGGUAAUACGUAGGGUCCGAGCGUUGUCCGGAAUUACUGGGCGUAAAGAGCUCGUAGGUGGUUUGUCGCGUUGUUCGUGAAAACUCACAGCUUAACUGUGGGCGUGCGGGCGAUACGGGCAGACUAGAGUACUGCAGGGGAGACUGGAAUUCCUGGUGUAGCGGUGGAAUGCGCAGAUAUCAGGAGGAACACCGGUGGCGAAGGCGGGUCUCUGGGCAGUAACUGACGCUGAGGAGCGAAAGCGUGGGGAGCGAACAGGAUUAGAUACCCGAGUAGUCCCUGUCUCUUAUAU
rnacentral:rRNA from 1 species